rnacentral:rRNA from 1 species
GACGAACGCUGGCGGCGUGCUUAACACAUGCAAGUCGAACGAUGAAGCCUUAGCUUGCUUUGGUGGAUUAGUGGCGAACGGGUGAGUAACACGUGAGCAACGUGCCCAGGACUCUGGAAUAACCGCGGGAAACCGUGGCUAAUACCGGAUAGGUGCCGAGGCCGCAUGGUCUUCGGUUGGAAAGUUUUUGCGGUUCUGGAUCGGCUCACGGCCUAUCAGCUUGUUGGUGGGGUAAUGGCCUACCAAGGCGACGACGGGUAGCCGGCCUGAGAGGGUGACCGGCCACACUGGGACUGAGAAACGGCCCCGACUCCUACGGGGGGCAGGAGUGGGGAAUAUUGCACAAUGGGCGGAAGCCUGAUGCAGGAACGCCGCGUGGGGGAUGACGGCCUUCGGGUUGUAAACCUCUUUUAGGAGGGAAGGAGCGCAAGUGACGGUACCUGCAGAAAAAGCACCGGCUAACUACGUG